ACAGGCAGCCUGAGAGGCAGCAACCCUGACAAUCAACAUGGUUAAACUGAGGCGACAAUCACACUGAGAGAGAAAAGCAGAAACACGAGCACACAUUUCCCCUCUAGUGGUGACUAUGGUGUAGUACAGGAGAGUCACCAGGCUAUUAGACAGUAUGAUGGGACAUUAGUACCAAGUAAAAACUUAAAUCAUUAAAAAUAAACAACUAAAAAUAUCACAGAUGGAGAUAGAACAACUUCAUUAAAGAAGGCUGCAGAGUCCCCAUGAAGUCAAAAUUGAUGUUUUUAUCUCAUAUCUCUUGUGCUAUACGUCACUUGUACUCCAGUAUCUGGCCCAACAAUGACAGAAAAGUCAUUUUUUAGGAAUUUCAGUUAUUCUUAAUGGUGUUUCAGAAUUUGUUAUCACCUGAAAAACAAUAAAAAGUAUUUUAUUUUUAUACUAGUAAAUAUUUUCUGAUGUCCUCCGGUUGCUCAGCUUCAACUCUCUCUGAUUUACAGAGUUUUCUGAUGGACAGAUAACUUUAGCUAAAGUAGCUAACCGCUAAUUAACUGCCCCUACCUGUAUCUGGCAUCAGCAAGCAACAGCACCGGGCUCAGCAGCCGGACUGGACACAGCCGCCGAGACAGACUUGAACACACAUUGUCAGCUAUCAUUAAAACCUAAUUUAGUAAUUACAUUUAGAUCGUCGGGGGGGAAGAAGAUACCCAGGCAGGAAGGACACAACCUGACCUGGAAAGUCUCGAAAAUAGUGUGCUUGGUGGUUUUUUUGCUUUCUGUCUGAUUGUCGCCUCAGUCUGCCUGGCAGGCAAAACAUCUGGGCAAAGAAACACGUGUAAACAGUGCUUGUAAGAUUAAAUGAAGAAAUUGAACAUGUUAAUCAGAGUCUAAUUCUCUGUUUGAGAACUCGUCCGAGGACUUGCUCAUUUCCUGCCUGUCGCUGUGAUUCCUUUGCCCAGAUCUGAGAAGGUUGUAGAAAUCCCUCCACUCUGCAGCGCUCUGACUGCACUGCAGGAUUCAGCAGCAAUGCAGCGAGAGCAUGAAGUAAAUGUAAGAGUGUGAAAGCUGAGGAGGGAUUUCUAUGACUGCCAUCAAACUGCCUGCCGGGCAGCGUGUUAGGGUUGCUGUCUCUCACGGGAGCAGAAUUUUUCUUUUUAACUUUUUUGUUCUCCUUUUUCCCAAAAUGGACAAGUUACUAACUUUGACUUAAAGAACUCAUCCAGAUGAUGCUCAGUGAAUGUCACUGAGGAAACAGGUGAACAAUGUGGUGUUAUUUUUGACUGAGUGAGGAGGUGGAGGCCUGUGAGAGUUGAAUGCAGGAGCACAGAGGAGUAAUGGAGGCUCUGUUGAAUCGUUCUGACUGCAGAGACGAGACAAGUCGGUUUCCAGCGACUCUGCGUCGUCCUGCCAGCCUGGCCGUUGCUUAGUAACUGGUGUUUUUCAGUGCCAGCUGAUGUCUGAAACGCCAGGCGUCUCACCACCCAGCCGAUUGGCGCACACACAGCUCUGUCGCCUUAGCUCUGAGUAAGAGGAGACCAAAUAGAGGCCACCAAGAACACGGCAUGGUGAAUCAUUUCUUUGGUUCCUCCUCAAAACAAACCCUCAGCUGGAUGUUUCUUUUACAGGAUUCCUAAAAAUGUAGAAAACCUGCCAGUUAUCACAAGAAACAUUCAAAUCUGCACAGAGGAAAGUUCCAAAUAUGCACAAGCCAUCUAGAAUAUUUCUAGUUUGAUGCAGCCAUAAAACCAGACACGCUGUUCCACCGGUGGGACACUAACACCAUGUACUAUGAAUAAUUAAUAAUAAUGAUAAAACUCAUUUGUACAGCCCUGUAGCAAAGUGUUACAUGCAGUUGAAACAGGAUUAAAAUAUUUAAGUAGUCCUUCCAGGAAGUUGCAGUUGAAACAGUGAACACAAAAUCAAGCAUGACCUAGCAAUUUUCCACAAAUUGAACCAAUCAUAGUUUCCUACGGGUUCAACACCAAUAACAAUUCCCUAAGCAGAACAUGUUGAUCCAUAUACCACCAAACCACCAGAGAGUUUAUUCUCACUGGAACAAGUUGCCUACAAAUAAAAUCACAGCAACAAUCCCAAAUAAGGCAGUGAAAUCCUGGAGGGACUGGAUAAGUUAGUACAUGGAAAUACUCAUACUACAGGGUUCAGGAAACAACUCUACAGGCAGACAAUAUCCCUGCCAUGAAUAUGUCUGAUGACCACACUGAAGGCCAUAAAUGCCUGUUUGUGUUCUGCAUCCUGAGCAGACAAACAAGAGCAUUGUGAUCCGUCUGAACUAUCACAGGAACAAGCUUCCUUCUCGAUCGUUGGGUACAGUCUCUGAUGACAAUCAAGUUUCUUGGAGAAGUAAGAAAUCGGAUGCUCAACCCCCCCCGAAGAACAGCACCCAUGCCGGUGUCGUUCACAUCUGCAGCCAACUUAAACGGCGCAAGGACAGCAGCGGCAGCAGAGCCCCUCAGGCGACCAGCAGAAACUCUUGCUGUAAUGGGCUUCCUUGUGGUUGGAAGUCUCCUUUCAAACCUUCGAGCUGAAAAUCCCCCUCAAGCAGAGAAAUGGUUUGAAGAUAUGAAAGGCCGCCUCCCUCUGGGCUUUUCUCUGUGGGGGAGGGGGGCUGAACACUGAAACACACAGCAGGGUUCACUUCCUGUUUGGAUGAAGAUGCUGGAAGAGAGCGGGACGAUGGCUCACAUGAGAAAACAUCUAAUGGAAGUUACAUACAUAGAAGUUAAUUUUCUGGAUUAGAUUUGUCUAUUCUUAGAGAUGAUCUUGUGACCGAUCUAGAGUCACCUCCUGGCCCUGGUGGGGGUCCUCACCCUCAGAUUUAAGACCGCUGUCCUCCCCUUCUCCAUGCAGUGUGGCAGAAACCCUCCAAGGUUGUUCCUGUCUCCUCCAUUUUCAAUCGGUGAAAACUUCCUGAGGCUCUCCGGAGGGGUCCUCUCUGCAGGGAGGGUGACCGAACCUCUGCCUGAAGGAAAAAAACAUCAACAGAAACAGAAGAAAUAUGAUUUAUUUUGGGGUUUCUCUUCCUGACUGUUGGGAGACUCUCCUCGUUGAAUUGUCUGCUGACUGGACGCAACAGUGACAGAUGGAAGGGUGGAUCUGACAUCUCAGCCACCACAAUGGAGGGGUUUUUUCUCCUUUUCUGAGGACUUAUAAAAGAUUUGGGGCCCUCUUUGAUCCCUUAUAGGGCCCUUCCAGACAUCAGAGGUGGAAUAUUUUUAAAAAAAGAUGGAUUUUUGGUUUCUUGCCCAGCAGGACACAAGUGGAGGAUCACUGAAGAGUUUCAUCUCCACAACGAUACAGAUUUAUUUAGGAAAAGCAUCAGCCCAUGUUCGUUUUCUUUCCAGUUCAAUGCCUCUAAUCACAGAGUUUCAUUUUCAUGGUGUUUUAUCAUCUGAAGUGUUUUUGUCAGUUUUGAGUCGCCUGCUGUGCUUUAGAAAGCAUCGUGAUUUCUGUUAAUGCUGGAAAAUUUGCUCAUUUAGGCUCCGUUCACACUGCAGCUGAGUUUCUAAACUCAGACUUUAGUGCUUUUAUGUUAGUUAAUGAAGAUCUGAACAGAGUCACAGGUUUCAUCUGCAGACUUGAUAAAAACAUGGCUGUAGAUAUUUUGGAAGGCUGUAGUUUAGGUUUCACAUCCGUUACUUGAGCAAAGAAAUCCAACAAUGUGGACUAAAGGGGGAAAGGCGCAAAUCAAAAUUUAGGCACUUCUGGCUCAUUUUUGCCAAUUAGAAAAAAAUCAAAUUUUUCAGCCCUUUUUGUCCAACAAAAUGUGCCAAAAAAAAACGUUUCUGUUUUUAUUUAUUUGUCCCAGUGGGGAUACAUUCCCCCAAAAGUUGUUUUUUUUGGUCCAGAUUUUGAUUGAAAAAAACAACUUUAAUCGCCCAAAAAGCAGCACCUGUUCCACAUCAACUUCACCCAGGUUCUGCCACUUAUGUCCAAAGUUUGAGCAAAUCAUCUAACAUUUGGACAAAGUCGUUCUUCAGGGGUUGAAGCUGAAAAUCGUCACCACAGCAAAACACCAGUCUUGUUUUAUGUUAUUUCUUUUUCAAACAUGGAUUUUCUUGUUAUUGAACGCAGCUCUUCAGUCGUCCUCCUGUCUGUCUGAGGUAAACUGAUGGACUGACAGAAAGAUACACACACACACACACACACACACACACACACACACACACACACACACAGAUGCUACUUCUAUACUUGUGAGGUCCAUUAUUGACACAAUAUAUUUUCUAACCUAACACCUAAAAAGUUUACAAGUUUACUUUUAAAAAAAUCCUCACUUGUCAAACAUUUUUGUAUUUUUACAAAUAUGUCCCCACUUUCCAAAAAGGUCCUCACUGCCAAGAUGUAAAUCUUUCAUUUGUCCUCACAAAGAUAGAAGAACAAACACACACUUUUAAAAGAGUGACUAAACCCCGAAACUAUCAACACGCAUCAACACCCCCGCAAAAUGUCUCAUUAUAUCUGAAUCUGAUCCAUUCAGUCUGAUAACAUUUGAAAAGUUUAAAAGAGAGGCACAAUUAAAUAUUUUAUCUCCAUUAAAGUUAGCGGAGGGCUAAACCAGACCUUAGCGACUCAGCUGGCGGAAGUCUCUAGUGUGCUUGUUCUAUGGGAAGAUUAUGCAGAAAAUCUGGGUAAUUUGGGGAAUUGUAUUAAGUUCUUCUUAAUACAUCCGUUGCUAAAACCUCACCCCACUCUGCAGACUGCAGCCUGCUACGUAGCCUACCCUGACACUUCCCCACAGACACCGGAGAGUUAGCCUCUAGUGGUUGAAUAUUUAGCUGAAUUUCGGGGUUUAUUUACAUUAUAAGUCCCCACAGCAGUGAGGACACACACACGAUGAUACAGUAUACAAGUGUAUCCACAGCUACAGUACUGCCUUUGUCUUCACGUGCACAUCUUGUAAGCCACACACACACACACACACACACACACACACACACACACACACACUGCUAAAGGAUACUGUGUCUCCACACACACUCACACUGGCUGUCGAACACUCGCAGCAGCUCACUGCCGAACCAAACCCCCAACCCGACUUCACUCCCAACCUCCAAACCCCGUCCAUCUCUCCCUGGAUGUCUUCACCUCUUUCAUUCCCAUUCGUUUCUCAAGCACACGCUUUUAUUCACUUUAUCUCUCUUGCCUUCAGAUUUUCUUAUCCUCAUGGCUGGCUUCUCUUCCCUCGAGCUCUGUCACUGUUUAAAUUUCUCAUUUAGCUUCACAGGCUUGACAGGUGAAAUACAUUUGUGUUGCAAAAGCAUACGAAGAAGGGAAAUACUAGAUAAAGGAAGAAGGAACAGUAAGGAGGAGCUCUCUGGGAGGAAGACGUCUUACUCUGUCUUAUCUCCUUGGUUCUUCUCUCGCUCGUCUCUCCCUGAAAGAGCUAAAACUCUCAUUACUCUGCUGUCAGCGGCUGCAAGAGGGAAACCAAAUCUGUGUGGAGGCUUUUUUUCAGUUGCAGUUAGUUUCUUUAAGGCUCUGGACAGCUAUGUAUACCUGGUGUUGUCAUGUGGGGACAAACAGGUUUAUAGACCAACAUUUUGAGGACCCACCUCCAAGUAGGGACAAAUAGUUGGUUAAAUAUUUAUUAGAGCUUUAAACCUAUAAUCGCUAACAUUUUGGCAUUAAACUGUGUAUAAACUCUGGCUCUAUGUUCUAUAUGGAGUUGAGUUCUUACAUUAUCCCAAAUUUUUCCAACAAUGUUCAAACUCAUAAAUCUAUAAUUUUAUUCAGGUAACGCUGCGUUUCACCAGUCGCCUGUCAAUGGCAUCAUAUCCCCUUUCUGCCUGCGUCAGCGAUGUGGUUGUCUGCAAGACGCUGUUUUUAUAUCUAUCAGGAUCAAUAUCUCUUUGCGUUGGGGAGCUACAAGCUACAGCCAAUGAGAGCAGUCUCUCUCUCUCCGGCACCAGACUGGACGUGGUGAACCGGGUAGUUAAUAACAGCCUCACACACACAUACAGACGAUCUGUAUCUGAUCCACAACCAGCUCUGAUUCUACUGAGAAAUGAUCAAUAUUAAAAAGGUCCGACUCUCAUUCCCAUAGUCUUCUCCCUCUUACAAGCUGAGGCGACAAAUCAUCAAAAACUGUAUCUUUUUUGAUUACUGAUCAGAAUACACUGUAUCUUUAUGGAUGAUAUUGAUCAGUAUACACUGUAUCUUUAUGGAUGAUAUUGAUCAGUAUACACUGUAUCUUUAUGGAUGAUAUUGAUCAGUAUACACUGUAUCUGUAUGGAUGAUAUUGAUCAGUAUACACUGUAUCUUUAUGGAUGAUAUUGAUCAGUAUACACUGUAUCUUUAUGGAUGAUAUUGAUCCUGUAUUGACAGUCAGACUGUGGACAUAUGACGGCCUUUAGCUCGUGUUUCUAGAGUUACGUGUUGUUACGAACACGUUAGGAAUUGUUAAAAUGUGAUAUUUCUUAAAGGGAGUUUGGUGCAGGGAGCUUUUAGUUGGAUUCAAACUGCUGAUAUGGAUCAUUGUUAACGUUUAGUCUCCACUACAGCAACACUAGCUAACUGCUAAAGUCUGAUAAGGUUGUCUGAUUGUAUUAGUUUGAUUAAUGCUUUAAUAAUGGAAGUAUUGAUUAUUGAUGCUGGCUGAUCAGGAUCAUUAUCAGCGGACUGUACUCUUCUUACAGCAUUAUGCUCUCAAUGAUUGCUCUUUGUGCAUGUUUUUACACUCCUGAUGAAACGUAGACACCACACAGACUCGGGGAAUACUUAAAAACUCCAGAUUAUAAGACAGUUAGAUGUAUAGGACUUUAAAAGUCCUGUAGUGGGACCAAUGCAUUAGCUGUGUGUUAUUGGAGCUGGUUUCCCCAGGAUGACAGUGAUGGGUUUAAUUAUUAACUGCUUAAAGAGUACCCAGAGACAGAUGGAAAGGAGACAGAGAGAAAUGAGCUGAAUCUGAGAGAGAGAGCAAGAACAUAAUUUUCUUUUUGUCGCCCUCUCCUCCGUCUCUGUUUCUUUUUAAAUCAGUGAGACGGCGAGAAAAUGAAGCUGAAUCCGAUCAAGAUAAACAUAAGAGAGCAGAAAGAGACGAGGAGAAAAGAGGAAGCGAGACAUCAAUUAAGCCUCACAGAUAAACAGCGGGCAGAGCCGCAGGCCGAUUUCAUCCUACAGAAACAUCAGAAGAGCUCAUCAAGAGACAGGAAGCUGUGUUCAUUUAUCCAGCCCAACCUGAGAGGCAAACAUACAAUUUCAUCAGUAAUCACGAGCACGCAGAGGGACGAGAAUCAGACAAAUCCGACUACAGCUACACCGACUUCUGCUGCUUUCAAGUGUUUAUUGUAUUUUACAGUUUUCAAAUCCCACCAUUCCACCAAACCCUAGACACAAUCAGUCAAUUAGGUUAUUUAAUUAAUUUAAUAAAGUUCUUAAACCAAACAGGGCUCAGCAGCCUCCCAGUGAACACAACCUCUGAGACAGACAGGACAGUUGGUACCGAGGUGAUUUAUGGAGUUUCAAGAUGGACCCGUUGCUAAACCCACCUGAGUCCUUUAUUCCCUGCAGUCAAACUGUCUUCCGUCAGCAUCAGAUGCUGCAUUCAGUUCCGGUCUGCUGUUCACUAGGAGCUCCCAGUCCAACAGAGUCAGCUAAUGGAUACUACAGCUGCUGGACUGGGGGGACGUAGCACAUAGUUAGUCCCUCCCUAACUGCCUGUUUGUACAGGAAAUCUGAGGAAGCAAACCGCUCUCUGAUUUUGUUUGACUCUAAGAAUAGUUAAAAACUAAUUAUAAUUUCUUCUUCAUAAGAGGGAAAAAAUGUUUUGGAAUAUCAAUAAAUUCAAUUGUUGAUGUUAAAAAUUGGCAUAAGGGAGGAAAAACGUAAACAUUUAGCUAGUUAAAAUUUUAACUUAAACAACUUUACUUUAUGAACUUUUCUCAUUAACACGAUUGUUAUUUUUAAGAUAAAAUAAAAGUCUUGUUAAUGUGAAUUAUUUUCUUUCAGCUUAAUAUUUGUAUUAUUUACAAUAACUGUUUACCAAAACUGGAGCACUUCUCUUUAAAUCAACUGUAUUGUUUUUUUUAAAUAUCAACAAUUAAAACCACAUUUGUAAUAAAAGUAACUUUUAACGAGUUUAAAUUUUAGAGUUAGAUUUACAGUGUUUUUCUAUUAAACAUGAAUCAUUCUUUUUUUAGAAUCACAAUUACACUUAUUAAACAAAAACAUCUCUAGUUUUGUUCUUUCUGACCUUCCGUACUUUUGUGGAACUCAGAAAUGAGUAUUUAAUCACAGACUGCUAUGAAUAUUUGUUUAUAUCUGUAUUGAUUGAAUUUCUUAACAUUUCAGAGAACAAACUGACAGACGUGAGAGGACGACAGCUGAGACGUUAAAACUCGAGCAGCUUGUUGUUGAGUGAGGCGUUCGCUUUCUGCUGCAGAAGUCUCGUUUCUGACUCAGGUUUCAGCAGAAAUUCAUGAGUUUGUGCGUCUGAGCCUUCGUCUGAUCCCUUUAAUUCUGCUGUCUGCCUUUCAGCCAUCUGCAUCCUGCUCUUCCUCCUCCUCCUCCUCCUCCUCCUCCUCGCCUGUCCACCUUCCUCUGCUUACUCAUCGUCUUGAUCGCUUUCCUCCUCCUCUUCAUCAUUCUGUCUUCCUCCCACACCUUCAUCCCUCCUCCUCUGUCUCAUCUUAAAGUUCACUUUCUCUCUCCUCCUCCACCCCCUCCUCUUCCUCCUUGCCUUACACUAAGCCUGUUUACAUAGGAUUAGAAACUCCAGCAGCUCUGCCACUGCUGUCUUUUACCCUUUAAGGGAGUCGGAACUGGCUUUCUCUAUGCUGGUGUGUGUUUUUCUCUGUGUGUUCGUGUUCAAUUUUGGGAACUGCCGCUGCCUUUGAGCUGCUGGUUUACCCAACUCGUUUGUUUUUCUUCACACUGUACUUGAAGGGAAAAUCCACCCUCAGUCAUGAAUGGAGUAUUGGAUGGGCCUUAACGGGCACAGGGCCGGGAGUCCAAGGGGUCAGGGGAUCCCUGGUCCAGAGCCUUUGUUUUAAGUGACUGUUAACAAGUCUUGUUGGAAAGUCAAUAUAAGGACAACAAAAGGAUGCAAACUGACCCAUACAGAGACCCAACACCACAACAAAUAGACUCAAUACGACUGCAAACAGACAUAAUAUUACCGCAGAGAGACCCAACACAACCAAAAGGAGGCGCUAAAUUACUGCAAACACAUCCAAAAAACUGCAAGAGACACUAAACGACCUUAAAGAGACCCACAACCACAAGACGGAGAGACGGAGAAUGAUUAAAUGUCUGCAGUGCUUUGCAGGAAGAGUGGGGAGCUUUUUAAAUGUCUGUUCUUGGGACUCAUUGUCUUAUAAUACGUCCGUAUCAUUUUUGAUAUAAACAAGUGAAGAUUCUUGUAAUUUACUUUUGUUUUGUACUUUUCUACUCAACCUGAUCUGAUUAUUCUUUAGUUUUUUAAAAGAGUCACCACCUCCUGUGGGUGAAAAUAUCUUACUGCUGAGGAAAGGCGGUAAGGUUACUAGCUAAUGAUCAGCUGAUUAAUAUGCAGCGCUGCGUGAUGAAGCUGGUGUUUGUUGCACUCAUGAUGUACAAAUGUUUGUUUGUUUGUUUGUUUUUUCCAUUUUCUGGCUAAAAAUUGGGUUUGAUGCAAUGCAUGAAGUAGAUGUUUAUCCACAGGAGGAGAAAAUGUACAAGUUCAUCCUAAGUUCUGUUUUUAUAUGAGUGUGUGUGUUCUGAAUGGCUGGGUUUUUAAGGUGGAUUUUUCCUUUAGGUACUUCCUGUUGAACAUGUAUCUACCCUGAAACUGUGAAGUGUUUCAUUUUAAAUGCAUUUUUUCUAUGGUCCUUUCUGUGUUGUGGCUUUGAAAAAGUUGUGUCACCGAAACAAAAACAACCGCGACUGUAAAUUUCAGCUCAACAUUGUUCGGGGCUUCGUAUGAAUCACGUGUCCUUCUUUCUGCAGCGUUAUUAUUAUCUGGUUCUCCCUCAAGUCGCAACUGAAAAUACACACACUGAUGUUUUCUUAGUGUUUACACUGUGUUAUAACCUCAAUGUCGUAGUUCAUCAAUGCAAAGGUUUUAGUUUUGAUAACAAAUUCAAGUAGGUGCUUCAUGGACUAAUGAAUUUAUUUAUUUUUUGUUGUUUGGCUCUGCACUCAAAAAACAAUCGAACAGAUAAAUGAGGAAGUAAAUAUCACUGAAGUCAAUACAUGAAAGUCUUAAUUUGAAAACCAUGUUGUUUGACAUUCUUUAUAUGUCUGAAAAGAGGUUUUUAAAAGGCACAAAAUGCAUUAUACAAAGAAACUUGUAAAGAUGAAAUUCACGGGGGGAACUGGUCUAUUAUUUUAUUUAUUAUUGUUUUUUCAAAACUUUAACAUUUUCACAUUUAAUGCAAACAUAAAUCAAUACAUUUAAAGACGUGGUUUUCAAAAUAAAAUAUUUUAGUGCUUUGGUUUUGAUUUCAGUGUGCACAAACUUCCAAGUAAAUACUUUUAACAUUAAAUUUAAGUUUAAAAACAGAUUAAAAAAAUGAUUAAAGAAAAAUAUUCCCAAAUUACGAAAAUUAAUAAAGAAUAAUUAAAUGCAAAUAUUUAAGUGGUUUUAAAAUAUAUUCUCUAGCUUCUGACUGUACAAAAUCCAAAACCUUCUGUUUAUUUUCUUUCAUUACUGUGAAUUGCGAUGAAUUACAAGCAGAUCAUUUUUGUUGCAGAUGUCACACCCUGCCUUUCUUUUUCCAGUGAAGAUGAUGUGCAGAUUGUGUGUAUCAGUGUGUGAACAGAGCUCCUCUAUAUUUUCUAAGUGGUUGAAAGUUGUUGUUUCCAAACUGAAGUGUAGAUUUACCUUCCUGCCUACUGUCUCAGCUCUUUUAUGAGUCCGCGCUCUUGUUUUCUAAAGAAAUAAAACUUCCAUCUGGACCUAA